UGCAGGCCCUCCUAUCUAUGUGAUGAAAAAGCGUUAAAUGAGAUCAUAAUGAUGGCGUAUUGGUAGCAUAGCGUCUGUAUUGCUAUCUAAUGCAGUUCAUAUACGAACAAAAAGAGGUACUAUCGGAUUUGACAGCGGCUGUUAGCGGAAUACGCGUACAGCCGCUAUGCGAAACUCGGUAAAAUGCAGCGGAAUAACUUCGACUGUAUCCGUGAAAAACCGAUCGUAGUUGAAUGACAACACCAUUUCCGGAAAAACAUUGUACGACAAAAUGGCGGACGAAACGAAACAAGUGACAAGGUUCGUGAGUGGUUCCAGGCGUGUGAUGACCCAGGGAUAUCAGCUAUUGACAGAUGCAGGAUGAUACAUAUGGGUAUAUAGGUUCAAGAAAUUCCUUCUGUCACUGGCUGACUUGUCCACUUCCCUCCAGUGGGUUUACAUGUCAACACGUCCAAAAUUUGUGGGGAGAGCAUUGUAAGACAAGAUCCAACCAGGACCACUUGUUUGAUGCCCUCAGUAGGCUCAUCGUGCGAGGAAACCGGUGAAGGUUAUGUCAAGUGUGCAUGAACCUGGUCUUGGAGCUACCACAAAGUCAAGGAAAGCAAGAUGAAGCGACUAAUAAGAGCUGGUCUUUCUGUUGCCCACUGUGAUGAACAGAUGUCCAAGUGUUGAAUCUGUUAUGUUUUUACAUAUGCACUUUCAUAAUGUGUAAAUAUGGGAAUUGUAAAGUUGGAAAUGAUGUGAUGUUGUCUUAAGUAAACAGAAAAUAAGACAUUUUUAUCUACUGAUUAUCAUUGGACAAAGAAAGUCAUAUUCAGAUUUGUCAAUGAAUAAAACACUUGAACUUCA